rnacentral:rRNA from 1 species
UGGGGAAUAUUGCGCAAUGGGGGGAACCCUGACGCAGCCAUGCCGCGUGAAUGAAGAAGGCCUUCGGGUUGUAAAGUUCUUUCGGUAUUGAGGAAGGUUGAUGUGUUAAUAGCACAUCAAAUUGACGUUAAAUACAGAAGAAGCACCGGCUAACUCCGUGCCAGCAGCCGCGGUAAUACGGAGGGUGCGAGCGUUAAUCGGAAUAACUGGGCGUAAAGGGCACGCAGGCGGUUAUUUAAGUGAGGUGUGAAAGCCCCGGGCUUAACCUGGGAAUUGCAUUUCAGACUGGGUAACUAGAGUACUUUAGGGAGGGGUAGAAUUCCACGUGUAGCGGUGAAAUGCGUAGAGAUGUGGAGGAAUACCGAAGGCGAAGGCAGCCCCUUGGGAAUGUACUGACGCUCAUGUGCGAAAGCGUGGGGAGCGAACAGGAUUAGAUACCCUGGUAGUCCACGCUGUAAACGCUGUCGAUUUGGGGGUUGGGGUUUAACUCUGGCGCCCGUAGCUAACGUGAUAAAUCGACCGCCUGGGGAGUACGGCCGCAAGGUUA